AUUGAACGCUGGCGGCAGGCCUAACACAUGCAAGUCGAACGGUAACAGGAAGAAGCUUGCUUCUUUGCUGACGAGUGGCGGACGGGUGAGUAAUGUCUGGGAAACUGCCUGAUGGAGGGGGAUAACUACUGGAAACGGUAGCUAAUACCGCAUAAUGUCGCAAGACCAAAGAGGGGGACCUUCGGGCCUCUUGCCAUCGGAUGUGCCCAGAUGGGAUUAGCUAGUAGGUGGGGUAACGGCUCACCUAGGCGACGAUCCCUAGCUGGUCUGAGAGGAUGACCAGCCACACUGGAACUGAGACACGGUCCAGACUCCUACGGGAGGCAGCAGUGGGGAAUAUUGCACAAUGGGCGCAAGCCUGAUGCAGCUAUGCCGCGUGUAUGAAGAAGGCCUUCGGGUUGUAAAGUACUUUCAGCGGGGAGGAAGGGAGUAAAGUUAAUACCUUUGCUCAUUGACGUUACCCGAAGAAGAAGCACCGGCUAACUCCGUG
rnacentral:rRNA from 1 species